UCUUCCCUUGCCGUGGCUUCUCCUCUCUUAAACCCCAUCUUCAUAAAUUUUUCCUUUCCACCAUUUUCAUUAAAGAUCAAGCUUGCUUUCCAUUAGUUCUUUGCUAGCUUAUUUCCUUCUUGAGGAAACGAGUAACGGUGUUUAAUUGCGCGUUCGAUUGUGUGAUUGGAAACUUUUGCCGAGAUGACAUUCAUGAGCGUGGUGCCGUCGGCCACGAGGAUGAGAUUGAUUUGGAGCGCUUUUAGGAUUGUGGUGUUUGUGAUGAGACGUUCUCCACCACGUCCAUAUGAUCAGACCUAGAGUCUUAGUUCAUUUUGCUUACGUAUCUAGUUUAUUUUGAGAUGUAGUACUUUGACAGACUAUUAUACUUAUGGUGCCUUAGUGGCCUUGCGAUACA